AAUAACGAUACGGGACUCUAUUGAGGCCCCGUAAUCGGAAUGAGUACACUUUAAAUCCUUUAACAAGGAUCCAUUGGAGGGCAAGUCUGGUGCCAGCAGCCGCGGUAAUUCCAGCUCCAAUAGCGUAUAUUAAAGUUGUUGCGGUUAAAAAGCUCGUAGUUGGUUCUGCGUGCCGCGCUGUCGGUUCGCCGCCUGUCGGUGUAACUGGCAUGUCGCGGCAUGUCCUGUCGGUGGUGAACGGGGUCCACAAUGCUGCAUAGGCUUUUAUAGCCGAUGUUAGCGUCGUGUGCACUUCCGUUGGCCGAUCUCUCCUACUUCGGUGCUCUUAAACGAGUGUCGAGGUAGGCCGACACGUUCACUUUGAACAAAUUAGAGUGCUUAAAGCAGGCUGAAAUAUCUGCCUGAAUAGUGGUGCAUGGAAUGAUAAAACAGGACCUCGGUUCUAUUUUGUUGGUUUUAGGAAUAUGAGGUAAUGAUCAAUGUGGACUGGCGGGGGCAUUCGUAUUGCGACGUUAGAGGUGAAAUUCUUGGAUCGUCGCAAGACGCACUAGAGCGAAAGCAUUUGCCAAGUAUGUCUUAAUUGAUCAAGAACGAAAGUUAGAGGUUCGAAGGCGAUCAGAUACCGCCCUAGUUCUAACCAUAAACGAUGCCAGCCAGCGAUCCGCCGAUGUUCCUUUAAUGACUCGGCGGGGAGCUUCUACCCGGGAAACCAAAGCUUUUGGGUUCCGGGGGAAGUAUGGUUGCAAAGCUGAAACU
rnacentral:rRNA from 1 species